rnacentral:lncRNA from 1 species
UUUCUGUGCAGUCCUCAAUUUUGAAAAACCAACGAAGGAAAAAGCCCUGAGGAAAUAGGCAUUUCCAAGAAAGCUUCUGGCUUAUUCAGGGAGAGACAGUCCAUAUCCAGUUUCAAACUACUUAUUAUAAGUAGUCCCAUCUCCUUCCAAACUGUCCCACUUUGAGUCACAGACACAGCAGGAGAUGAGUUUUAAUCUCCUUUUUCUUCCAGUGCUUGGAUGAUGCAGGAACUGCUAGUGACUCAGUACAGCAGCACAAACUGUCUUCAUCUUACGUAAAAGCUCCAGGCUGCAUGAAAGCAGGAGCCUUACAUAAACAGCUAGUAUUUCAGGGUGAAAAAGUGUAUCAAAGAAGCAAAUCAAAAGGGACAGCAAGAAAUAUCAGUGCCCAUUACAACAGGAGCUUCUUACAGAGACUCAGCUGUUGUCUCAUGGAAAGUGGGAUUUGCUUAGUUCCCAAUUUCAAGGAGGGUAGAUGCUGUGGUGGGGUCCAGGCAGCUUUGUGGAAACGUCUCCAAUGGGCUGGUAGGAUGAGAAGGUCCAGGGGUAGUUUGGAAAACAAGGAGAAGCAUCACCUCCCAAGACGGUAAACCUACUGAAAAGACUAUUGAAAUUCCAGAAGGAC